rnacentral:sRNA from 1 species
UCAUUAACAAAAACAGAGCCGAAAUACC